rnacentral:lncRNA from 1 species
GGAUGCCUCAUGCCGAUCCAGCCUAUCAUCUGUUGAGAUCACAGUCAUCUUUAUCAAAUACUGUACAACUGUCUGAAAACGCCCAGUUGGCUCCACAGGACAAGUCCAAACUUAGUGGCAUAAUUUUCCAAACAAUCUUGUUCAAACUUACUUUUCCCAUUUGAGUUCCGGUUCCUCAUGCUAAGGACCAGCAGGCAAGAGAAAGAUCUGUCGACGAAAAUAAUCCAUAACCAAUCUGUAAAUGAAAAUUUGGAUCCUGGCGGGGGUAAUUGACUCCUAUCAAGAGGCGGUGGAACUGCUGUUUUACAACUUUCAGUACUGUCUUGUGCAAUUUUGAUGGCAAAUGGAUAAGCACAGCAGGUGCAGCCUGAGAGGAGCAUGGUAAACAGUAACUGGAACUCAUCAGUUUUGAGUGUCUGAGUCACUCCACUUGGUAAAACACUUAAACCUUCAGAGGUGCUAAUCAACAGUGAGG